rnacentral:lncRNA from 1 species
GGAUACUAAAAUGGGUACCAAAACAGACAGUAAAACGGAAGGGUGUAUAAAAAUAAAAAAUAGUAACAACAAUCAAAAAGAAGAAAAUUGUUAUAGGACGAUUAAAAAUAAAUAUAACGACAGUAGUAACAACUGCAUUUCCGAAUUAACAAACAACGUUGAAUUUAAAUAUGAAAAUGUAAAAAAUGUUAAUAAAACACAAAUAAAAAUUAUUGAAAACAUAAAUAAUAUUAAAAAAAUUGAAAAAAAAUAUAAAGAUUUGCAAGAAUUAAAAGAAAAAGAAAGAAUCCAAAAAAUGUUACAUGUUUUGAAGUUAAAAAGUAUAACAAAAAGAAAUAAUGUAAAUUUUUUAAAAUAUAAUAAAUUAAAAAAAAAAAAAAGAAAUUACAAUUACAAUUACAGUUACAAUUAUAAUUAUAAUAUUAAUACACCGGCACAUACAAAAAGCAAUUGCAAAGAUGGCACUACAAACGAAUAUAAAAUGAUGAUCGAUGACAAUUCGUGUCGACUAAUUUGUACAAAAAAUAAUAAACAAAGUGAUCGAAAUGAUCAAAUAGAUUUUGUAAAAACAAGUUCGCGUUUAGUUACUAAUGAAAAAAAAAAAAAAAACUUGCAAAAUUCAAAAGUCAAUAAAAACUAUAAUAAUUUAAACUAUACAAAACAAUUACCAGAUCAUAUAAGCAUUAUUAAAGAAUCAAAUAUUAUUAUAAGUAAAAAUAAUAGUAAUAAUAAUAAACACAAUAGUAUAAUCUUUAAUGAAACUGAACAUAAAUAUUCAAAAGGAAAAGACAUAAAAAAACGCACUAGCAAUAACAGUGUAGCAAUUGGUUAUACAAAUGAUAAUAAAAUGUUUGAUUAUGAAGAUGACAACAAUUAUAUUUAUGGUAAUAGAAACAAUUAUAAUUGUGGUUAUAAUGACAAUAUAACAGAUUGUAUACCAUUUAACACGACAUCUGAUAAAAUAAACGAUUUCUCGUCGCAACAAGAACGUUUUUUUUUUUUUAUGGAAAGACCUUUUAAUUGUGUUAAUACUAAUACUAACAUUAGUACUAAUAUUGUAGGAAAUAAUACGGAAGAAGAAAAAAAAGAAUCUAUGUCGGACCAAUAUAUAAGCACUUUACAAAAAAAUGAUAGUAGUAACAAUAACAAUGGUAAUAUAAAUUCAUUAUCAAGUAUGGUUGUAAAGUAUAAAUUAUUUGACUACUAUCAAAAACAAAUAACUUAAAAAAAAAAAAAAACAAAAAAAAAAAACACGUAUUUGAUUAAUAUUCUACAAAAAGAAUGGUAAUAAAUUAUACAAAUUUUGAAAAAGAACGAGUAAU